rnacentral:rRNA from 1 species
UACGUAGGGUGCAAGCGUUGUCCGGAAUUAUUGGGCGUAAAGAGCUCGUAGGCGGUUUGUCGCGUCGAAUGUGAAAACCCGGGGCUCAACCCCGGGCCUGCAUUCGAUACGGGCAGACUAGAGUUCGGUAGGGGAGUCUGGAAUUCCUGGUGUAGCGGUGAAAUGCGUAGAUAUCUGGAGGAACACCGGUGGCGAAGGCGGCAUCCUGGACCGAGAUUGACGCUGAUGCGCGAAAGCCAGGGGAGCAAACGGG